rnacentral:rRNA from 1 species
UACGGAGGGGGCUAGCGUUGUCCGAAGUUACUGGGCGUAAAGCGCGCGUAGGCGGGUUGGUAAGUCCGCUGUGAAAGCCCGGAGCUCAACUCCGGAGGGUCGGUGGAUACUGCCAGUCUUGAAGGUGCUAGGGGGAGAUGGAAUUACCGGUGUAGCGGUGAAAUGUGUAGAUAUCGGUAGGAACACCAGUGGCGAAGGCGGUCUCCUGGGGCAUUCUUGACGCUGAGGCGCGAAAGCUGGGGGAGCAAACGGG